GACGAACGCUGGCGGCGUGCUUAACACAUGCAAGUCGAACGGAAAGGCCCUGCUUUUGUGGGGUGCUCGAGUGGCGAACGGGUGAGUAACACGUGAGUAACCUGCCCUUGACUUUGGGAUAACUUCAGGAAACUGGGGCUAAUACCGGAUAGGAGCUCCUGCUGCAUGGUGGGGGUUGGAAAGUUUCGGCGGUUGUGGAUGGACUCGAGGCUUAUCGGCUUGUUGGUGGGGUAGUGGCUUACCAAGGCUUUGACGGGUAGCCGGCCUGAGAGGGUGACCGGCGACAAUGGGACUGAGAGACGGCCCAGAAUCCUACGGGACGCAAUAGUGGGGAAUAUUGCACAAUGGCGGGAAGCCUGAUGCAGCAAUGCCGCGUGCGGGAUAACGUGCUACGAGUUGAAAACCGAUGUCGCCUGUGACGAGGAGUGAGUGACGGUAAUGGGUAAAGAAGCACCGGCUAACUACGUG
rnacentral:rRNA from 1 species